rnacentral:misc_RNA from 1 species
UUUCCGUAGGUGAACCUGCGGAAGGAUCAUUAACGCGCAACUACCCCGGAUAGCGAGUGAGCGCUUGCGCCGUCUUCGUCGAUGUCUGUUGUAUAACCGGCCGGCGUCGUGCGGCUCAGCGCCGCUGACAAGCACCGGAAGUCGCCCAUUCUUGCCUACCGACCCAGUUGCCUCGGCGGGCCGUUCCGCUGGUUCUUCCAGCGGACGGCCACCCGGUCCGCGCCCGCCGGUGGACAGUUAUAAAAAUCAUUUAGUUAAAAGGUUGUCUGAGCGUAUAAAGCAAAUCAGUUAAAACUUUCAACAACGGAUCUCUUGGUUCCG